rnacentral:lncRNA from 1 species
ACUGUUGGUGGAAAUACCUCAUUCUAUAUGAAUAAAAGAAAGUUAUGACAGCUUUGCAGUUGAAACUGACAGCAGUGAUUUUAACAGUCUUAGGGAUACAGGCAGCGAAACCACGAACCCACUGGGAGGAAUGGACAAUUCCAGAUGUGCUGCCUUAAGAGCUGUAACAGUCACUGCGAAAGUCUGCAGCUUCACGCCUGAAGCUAGCGAGACCACGAACCCAGCAGAAGGAAGAAACUCCGAACACAUCUGAACAUCAGAAGGAACAAACUCUGGACAUGCUGCCUUUAAGAACUGUACUCACUGCGAGAAUCAGUGGCUUCAUUCUUGAGCAAUCUUGAAAGUAUGCUAUGGGGGAGGUUCCAAGAUGGCCAAAUAGGAACAGCUCCAGUCUGCAGCUCCCAGCGUGAGUGACACAGAAGACAGCCUUAGCAAACGGCACACCAGGAGAUUAUAUCCCGCGUCUGGCUUGGAGGGUCCCACACCCAUGGAGCCUCGCUCUCUGCUAGCACAGCAGUCUGAGAUCAAACUGCAAGGCAGCAGUGAGGCUGGGGAAGGGGCGUCUGCCAUUGCUGAAGCUUGAGUAGGUAAAUAAAGCAGCUGGGAAGCUCGAACUGGGUGAAGCCCACCGCAGCUCAAGGAGGCCUGCCUGCCUCUGUAGACUCCACCUCUGGGAACAGAGCAUAGCUGAACAAAAGGCAGCAGAAACUUCUGCAGACUUAAACGUCCCUGUCUGACAGCUUUGAAGAGAGUAGUGGUUCUCCCAGCAUGGAGUUUGAGAUCUGAGAAUGGACAGACUACCUCCUCAAGUGGGUCCCUGACCCCCAAGUAGCCUAACUGUGAGACACCUCCCAGUAGGGGCUGACUGACACCUCAUACAGCUGGGUGCCCCACUGAGAUGAAGCUUCCAGAGGAAGGAUUAGGCAGCGACAUCUGCUGUUCCGCAAUAUUUGCUGUUCUGCAGCCUCCACUGGUGAAACCCAGGCAAACAGGGUCUGGAGUGGACCUCCAGCAAACUCCAACAGACUUGCAGCUGAGGGUCCUGACUGUUAGAAGGAAAACUAACAAACAGAAAGGACAUCCACAUCAAAAUCCCAUCUGUACAUAACUAUCAUCAAAGACCAAAGGUAGAUAAAACCGC